rnacentral:rRNA from 1 species
UGGGGAAUAUUGCACAAUGGGCGCAAGCCUGAUGCAGCAACGCCGCGUGAGGGACGACGGCCUUCGGGUUGUAAACCUCUUUUGGCAGGGAAGAAGCGAAAGUGACGGUACCUGCAGAAAAAGCACCGGCUAACUACGUGCCAGCAGCCGCGGUGAUACGUAGGGUGCAAGCGUUGUCCGGAAUUAUUGGGCGUAAAGAGCUCGUAGGCGGUUUGUCGCGUCUGCUGUGAAAACCCGAGGCUCAACCUCGGGCCUGCAGUGGGUACGGGCAAACUAGAGUGCGUUAGGGGAGAUUGGAAUUCCUGGUGUAGCGGUGGAAUGCGCAGAUAUCAGGAGGAACACCGAUGGCGAAGGCAGAUCUCUGGGCCGUAACUGACGCUGAGGAGCGAAAGCAUGGGGAGCGAACA